rnacentral:rRNA from 1 species
UACGUAGGUGGCAAGCGUUGUCCGGAUUUAUUGGGUUUAAAGGGUGCGUAGGCGGUCUAUUAAGUCAGUUGUGAAAUACGGCGGCUCAACUGUCGAGGUGCAAUUGAUACUGAUGGACUUGAGUACUGAUGAGGUAAGCGGAAUGGACGGUGUAGCGGUGAAAUGCUUAGAUAUCGUCCAGAACACCGAUAGCGAAGGCAGCUUACUAAGGAGUAACUGACGCUGAGGCACGAAAGUGUGGGGAUCAAACAGG